rnacentral:rRNA from 1 species
GACGAAGGGGGCUAGCGUUGUUCGGAAUUACUGGGCGUAAAGCGCGCGUAGGCGGCUCUUCAAGUCAGGCGUGAAAGCCCCGGGCUUAACCCGGGAAUAGCGCUUGAUACUGUUGGGCUUGAGUCCGGGAGAGGAUAGUGGAAUUCCCAGUGUAGAGGUGAAAUUCGUAGAUAUUGGGAAGAACACCAGUGGCGAAGGCGGCUAUCUGGACCGGAACUGACGCUGAGGCGCGAAAGCGUGGGGAGCAAACAGGAUUAGAUACCCUGGUAGUCCACGCCGUAAACGAUGAGUGCUAGACGUUGGAGGGCUUGCUCUUCAGUGUCGUAGCUAACGCGAUAAGCACUCCGCCUGGGGAGUACGGCCGCAAGGUUAAA